rnacentral:lncRNA from 1 species
UCUGGGUCUCUUUGUUUCUGCGGUGGGCUCGCCGGUGUUUCACUGUUCCGGCGUUAAGCGCGGUGGCAGUCGGCCAAGGAGCCGGUGUCUCACUGUUCCGACGUUCAGUGCGGUGGCAGCCGGCCAAGGCCAAGAAGAGAGUGUUUUAAUUUUUAUUUUUAAAGGCAUUUAGUUAAACAAGUUAAUCAAUGUAUAAAUAACAUUAAAUAAUACACUAAACACAUGGGGUCAUCUACUUUUACAUCUACUUUAACUCUCCUAAAUACCCGUGCCCAAAAGAAAGGGGACUUGAAUAUUGGGACGGAGGGAG